CACCGUAUACGCGGCAGACUAGGUUGUAUAGCUAACGUUAUCCCACAAAAAGAAACACGAUGAACAUUAACUGUUGGCUAAUUCUCAAAAUCUCUAAAACCCAUUUCAGGACGUGUGGACUGAGGAACUGGUGUGGUCGGAGGCUGAGGACAGGCUUAUAUCAAAGAACUGGACUGUAACCGUCGAUUUAUGAGUGGCGCAAGCCUGGGGGCUCUCUAGUGCCUGGCUGUUCCAGGACCAUGCUAAAGCGCAGAAUGAGUGUGUUAGGAGAGAAAGAUGCUCUUCUUGUAAAACAAGUGGAUGCAGGCAUCAAAUGCAGCUGGAAUUGGUCGUGGCUUAAACUAGAAGGGAAAAUAAGAGUGAAAGAACAAGAGCCCUCAUUCCAUCUGUCAGAUGUCUUCCAGAAGAUAAAUAAACAAGGAUUCGCAUGGUGCAUUCUCUGCCAAAAAGAUAUAAACUACACCCAUACACAUGUUGUUAGUAUUCCUAUCAUGUUGUUAG